ACUUCUCUAACGUGCUGCUUUUCUGUUUUAUUUAACUGUAAACUGAACAUGAGCGGAUCAAUCAACCUGAUUUCUUCUAAACUGGAAGCUGUGACUGAAUCAUGACUCGGCGAACGGCAGGAAACACACGACUAACUAACGUGAAGUGUGAAGAACAAAGUUCAUGAAAUCUGCAUGAGCUGAAGCUGCCUGAGGGGUGGAAAUACUUUGAGUGACGACAUCUUCCGGAGUUUGUGGAUUUACAUGUGGUGGCAGCAGGAUGAGACCUGAGGAGGUGACGACCGCCAUCACUGACUGUAGAUGGCGCUGUGCUCCCACACUCACAGCUGCAUGUUCAUCUGACUCAGCAAAUACAAGC